AUACGGAGGGUGCAAGCGUUAAUCGGAAUUACUGGGCGUAAAGCGUGCGCAGGCGGUUUUUUAAGACGGAGGUGAAAUCCCCGGGCUCAACCUGGGAACUGCAUUUGAGACUGGAAGGCUAGAGUCCUGACGAGGGGGGUAGAAUUCCGCGUGUAGCAGUGAAAUGCGUAGAUAUGAGGAGGAACACCGAUGGCGAAGGCACUCCCCUGGGAAAGUACUGACGCUCAGGCACGAAAGCGGGGGGAGCAAACAGGAUUAGAUCCCCGGGUAGUCCACGCCCUAAACGAUGUCAACUGGUUGUUGGGUCUUCAUUGCCUCAGUAACGAAGCUAACGCGUGAAGUUGACCGCCUGGGGAGUACGGCCGCAAGGUUGAAACUCAAAUGAAUUGACGGGG
rnacentral:rRNA from 1 species